GACCAGUUAGCUCAGUUGGUUAGAGUGUGGUGCUAAUAAUGCCAGGGCCGUGGGUUUGAUCCCCACAGGGGCCA